rnacentral:rRNA from 1 species
UACAGAGGUCUCAAGCGUUGUUCGGAUUCAUUGGGCGUAAAGGGUGUGUAGGUGGCGCCGGUAAGUCGGGUGUGAAAUUCGUGACUUAACUCCGAAACUGCAUUCGAUACUGCCGGUGCUUGAGGACUGGAGAGGAGACUGGAAUUCAUGGUGUAGCAGUGAAAUGCGUAGAGAUCAUGAGGAAGACCAGUGGCGAAGGCGGGUCUCUGGACAGUUCCUGACACUGAGACACGAAGGCCAGGGGAGCAAACGGG